rnacentral:rRNA from 1 species
CCUACGGGGGGCAGCAGUGGGGAAUAUUGGGCAAUGGGCGCAAGCCUGACCCAGCAACGCCGCGUGAAGGAAGAAGGCUUUCGGGUUGUAAACUUCUUUUAUCAGGGACGAAGCAAGUGACGGUACCUGAUGAAUAAGCCACGGCUAACUACGUGACAGCAGCCGCGGUAAUACGUAGGUGGCAAGCGUUAUCCGGAUUUACUGGGUGUAAAGGGCGUGUAGGCGGGAGUGCAAGUCAGAUGUGAAAACUAUGGGCUCAACCCAUAGCCUGCAUUUGAAACUGGGUGUCUGGAGGGCAGGAGAGGAAAGUGGAAUUCCUAGUGUAGCGGUGAAAUGCGUAGAUAUUAGGAGGAACACCAGUGGCGAAGGCGACUUUCUGGACUGUACCUGACACUGAGGCGCGAAAGCGUGGGUAGCAAACAGGAUUAGAUACCCUAGUAGUC